CAGAUAGAGGUGCGAUGCUUCAAUAGUACUGUGAUUUAGCCACUCAAAGGGCGAUGAGAUCACAGGAAAGGGUGGCUCGCCGAAGCUCAUGACUUUCUUUGAGAAGCAUGUACGCUGGGCAAUGGAAUAAGAUUUCAUUGACUGUCACAAGUAAAAUUGUGGAGAGCUAUCU
rnacentral:ncRNA from 1 species